UAUGCUCACAGGCACGUAGUACAUUCUAUGUCCUUGUACCUUAACCAAGAUAUUUGUGCUGGACAUGCUCACAGGCACCUUCCAGCUCGCAGCCUAUGCCCCUUCCCUAUUUGGCAUAAGCAACUUCCUCUUUUCCUUUGUCUUUCCAUUACUUUUACCUAUUUAAAAAAGUUUCAAACUGUUAGUCAAUCGGGUUUUAGUUUAGACUGUGCUGUCUGACUCCAGCCAAUGGAGACAGGACACAGUAGCAGGGACAAACUACUUAAGGAAUAAAAAUUGCUUCCCUCCUUUGUUUGGAUGUGCUGUCGCCAUUGUUCCAUCUGUGACGGGCACUCUUUCUGCAGAAAGUAAAAAUGGCCUUAGUAAGAAAAUUAAAUUUAUGUUCAAGUGCUAUUUCUUUGUAGCACCAGGGAACAAACAUUCUGUUUCCAAAUAAACAUUUUACAUAUAACAAGUAAAAUAACACUAUGAAAAAAGUCAAAAGACCAUUCCUAAAAUGAGGGGAAUAGGGCAAGUAAGUGGGGCAGUUCCACCCUAAAAGUCCCUGGAAUAAAUUUUAAAAUGGCAUAUUCUUCAUUUCAAACACAGAAGCCGUUCCUGGGAAACCUUGCAAGCCACAGUGCUUGGGUGGAAACAUGACAGGCCAAAUUGCAACCAGAAUUCUUUGAUUAUAAACAAAAGCAUUUUUGUUUCAGAGAAGAAAAAAAAAAAGAGAGAAAGGAAACUAAAAAAGAGGAAAUGAAUCACUUUCUGAAUAUGAGACCUCAAGUGCACAAACAGGCUGGGGAGUGGAGAUGAGUUAGCUCGGUCAUCAUCAGUAGGAGAGGAGCAUGGGAUCUCCAACUUUCGUCGGGAG
rnacentral:lncRNA from 1 species